rnacentral:tRNA from 1 species
GCGGACGUAGCUCAGUUGGUAGAUUGGUAGAGCGCAACCUUGCCAAGGUUGAGGUCGCGAGUUCGAGCCUCGUCGUCCGCU